AGAACGAACGCUGGCGGCAUGCCUAACACAUGCAAGUCGAACGAGACCUUCGGGUCUAGUGGCGCACGGGUGCGUAACGCGUGGGAAUCUGCCCUUGGGUUCGGGAUAACAGUUGGAAACGACUGCUAAUACCGAAUGAUAUCUUCGGAUCAAAGAUUUAUCGCCCAGGGAUGAGCCCGCGUAGGAUUAGCUUGUUGGUGAGGUAAGAGCUCACCAAGGCGACGAUCCUUAGCUGGUCUGAGAGGAUGAUCAGCCACACUGGGACUGAGACACGGCCCAGACUCCUACGGGAGGCAGCAGUGGGGAAUAUUGGACAAUGGGCGAAAGCCUGAUCCAGCAAUGCCGCGUGAGUGAUGAAGGCCUUAGGGUUGUAAAGCUCUUUUACCCGGAUGAUAAUGACAGUACCGGAGAAUAAGCCCGGCUAACUCCGUGCCAGCAGCCGC
rnacentral:rRNA from 1 species